rnacentral:rRNA from 1 species
UGGUGGCGAGUGGACGACGGGUGAGUAAUACAUCGGAACGUGCCCAAUCGGUGGGGAUAACGUAGCGAAAGUUACGCUAAUACCGCAUACGAUCUACGGAUGAAAGCGGGGGAUCGCAAGACCUCGCGCGAAUGGAGCGGCCGAUGUCAGAUUAGGUAGUUGGUGGGUAAAGGCUCACCAAGCCAACGAUCUGUAGCUGGUCUGAGAGGACGACCAGCCACACUGGAACUGAGACACGGUCCAGACUCCUACGGGAGGCAGCAGUGGGAAUUUGGACAAUGGGCGCAAGCCUGAUCCAGCCAUUCCGCGUGCAGGAUGAAGGCCUUCGGGUUGUAAACUGUCUUUUGUACGGAACGAAAAGGUCCUGGUUAAUACCUGGGGCUCAUGACGGUACCGUAAGAAUAAGCACCGGCUAACUACGUG